rnacentral:rRNA from 1 species
GAUGAACGCUAGCUACAGGCUUAACACAUGCAAGUCGAGGGGCAUCAUGACGAAAGCUUGCUUUUGUUGAUGGCGACCGGCGCACGGGUGAGUAACGCGUAUCCAACCUUCCCCUUAGUAGAGGAUAGCCCGGCGAAAGUCGGAUUAAUACUCUAUGUUCUUUCUGGAUGGCAUCUGAUGGAAAGCAAAGGUUCACCGCUAAGGGAUGGGGAUGCGUCUGAUUAGCUUGUUGGCGGGGUAACGGCCCACCAAGGCGACGAUCAGUAGGGGUUCUGAGAGGAAGGUCCCCCACAUUGGUACUGAGACACGGACCAAACUCC